rnacentral:rRNA from 1 species
CGGAAUGUGCAAACGUUAUUCGGAAUCACUGGGCUUAAAGAGUCCGUAGGCGGCUUGUUAGGUGAGGUGUGAAAUCCCACGGCUCAACCGUGGAAUUGCGCUUCAAACCGGCAAGCUUGAGGAGGAUAGAGGUGGGCGGAACUGAUGGUGGAGCGGUGAAAUGCGUUGAUAUCAUCAGGAACACCGGAGGCGAAAGCGGUCCACUGGGUCCUUUCUGACGCUGAGGGACGAAAGCUAGGGGAGCGAACGGGAUUAGAUACCCCGGUAGUCCUAGCCUUAAACGAUGAGCACUAGACCGAAGAACCUCCACGGUUUUUUGGUCGUAGCGAAAGUGUUAAGUGCUCGCCUGGGGAGUAUGGUCGCAAGGCUG